GACGAACGCUGGCGGCGUGCUUAACACAUGCAAGUCGAACGGUGAAGCGCCUUCCUUUUUGGUGGGUGUGGAUGAGUGGCGAACGGGUGAGUAACACGUGAGUAACCUGCCCCCUUCUUCUGGAUAACCGCAUGAAAGUGUGGCUAAUACGGGAUAUUCUGGGUCUGUCGCAUGAUGGGUCUGGGAAAGAUAUUGUUUCGGUGGGGGAUGGGCUCGCGGCCUAUCAGCUUGUUGGUGGGGUGAUGGCCUACCAAGGCUGUGACGGGUAGCCGGCCUGGGAGGGUGGACGGUCACACUGGGACUGAGACACGGCCCAGACUCGUACGGGAGGCAGCAGUGGGGAAUAUUGGACGAUGGGCGCGAGCCUGAUGCAGCGACGCCGCGUGAGGGAUGGAGGCCUUCGGGUUGUGAACCUCUUUCGCCAGUGAAGCAGGCCUGCCUCGUUUGUGAGUGGGUUGACGGUAGCUGGAUAAGAAGCGCCGGCUAACUACGUG
rnacentral:rRNA from 1 species